AAUCAACGCUGGCGGCGUGCCUCAGACAUGCAAGUCGAACGAUUAAACUUUCCUUCGGGAAAGAUAUAAAGUGGCGCACGGGUGAGUAACACGUAAGUAAUCUACCUUCGAGUGGGGAAU
rnacentral:rRNA from 1 species